GCCAGAUUAGCUCAGGGGUAGAGCAGCUCACUCGUAAUGAGCAGGUCAAGGGUUCGAUUCCCUUUUCUGGCU
rnacentral:tRNA from 4 species